UAGGUGCAAUAGGUGGUUGCUCCAAAAAUGGAGAGGAAAGUCCGAGCUACAGAGACAGGAUUCCAUUUAACGAAUGGCUAACGCAAGUUAAGGGAAAGUGCAACAGAAAAUAAACCGCCCAUUUGGGUAAGGGUGAAAUGGUGGGGCAAGAGCCUACCGGGAGUUGAGCAAUCAAAUCCGUCAAUGUAAACCCAAUCCGUAGCAAAAAGAGUAUGGUUAAAGUCUCAUUUUAGCUCUUUGCUAGAGGUAUAUUGUGAAAUAUAUCCCAGAUAAAUAACCACCCUAGACAGAACUCGGCUUAUCGUUGCACCUAGAGU
rnacentral:RNase_P_RNA from 2 species